rnacentral:rRNA from 1 species
UGGGAUGCGGAGGGACAUUGCUGGACGCGCCCCAGGCGCACCCAGAAACCCUUUGUGAACUUAUACCUUACCGUUGCCUCGGCGCCAGCUGGUCCUCCGGGGCCCCUCACCCGCCUGCGGGUGUUGAGAGAGCACGCCGGCGGCCAACCUAACUCUUGUUUUUACACUGAAACUCUGAGAAUAAAACAUAAAUGAAUCAAAACUUUCAACAACGGAUCUCUUGGUUCUGGCAUCGAUGAAGAACGCAGCGAAAUGCGAUAAGUAAUGUGAAUUGCAGAAUUCAGUGAAUCAUCGAAUCUUUGAACGCACAUUGCGCCCUCUGGUAUUCCGGAGGGCAUGCCUGUUCGAGCGUCAUUUCAACCCUCAAGCCUGGCUUGGUGAUGGGGCACUGCCUUGUGUAAAAACGAGGCAGGCCCUGAAAUGGGAGGAGUCGGUUCACACUAGAGCAGUAGUAAAUUUAUCUCUCCGGACAGCCGGGCCGGUCCCCUGCCGUAUAAACACACCAAUUUUUAAAGGUUGACCUCGGAUCCAAGGUAGGAAAUC